UACGGAGGGUGCAAGCGUUGCUCGGAAUUAUUGGGCGUAAAGGGUAGGUAGGUGGUCUCAUUUGUCUGAGGUGAAAGCCCAGGGCUUAACCUUGGAAGUGCCUCAGAAACGGUGAGACUGGAGUACCGGAGAGGGUCGUGGAAUUCCCGGUGUAGCGGUGAAAUGCGUAGAGAUCGGGAGGAACACCAGAGGCGAAGGCGGCGACCUGGACAGUGACUGACACUCAACUACGAAAGCGUGGGGAGCAAACAGG
rnacentral:rRNA from 1 species